rnacentral:tRNA from 1 species
AUUUAUGUAGUUUAAAAAAACAUUACAUUUUCAUUGUAAAAUUAGAGAAAUCUCAUAAAUU